rnacentral:rRNA from 1 species
AUUGAACGCUGGCGGCAGGCCUAACACAUGCAAGUCGAGCGGAUGAAGGGAGCUUGCUCCUGGAUUCAGCGGCGGACGGGUGAGUAAUGCCUAGGAAUCUGCCUGGUAGUGGGGGAUAACGUCCGGAAACGGGCGCUAAUACCGCAUACGUCCUGAGGGAGAAAGUGGGGGAUCUUCGGACCUCACGCUAUCAGAUGAGCCUAGGUCGGAUUAGCAAGUUGGUGGGGUAAAGGCCUACCAAGGCGACGAUCCGUAACUGGUCUGAGAGGAUGAUCAGUCACACUGGAACUGAGACACGGUCCAGACUCCUACGGGAGGCAGCAGUGGGGAAUAUUGGACAAUGGGCGAAAGCCUGAUCCAGCCAUGCCGCGUGUGUGAAGAAGGUCUUCGGAUUGUAAAGCACUUUAAGUUGGGAGGAAGGGCAGUAAGUUAAUACCUUGCUGUUUUGACGUUACCAACAGAAUAAGCACCGGCUAACUUCGUG